GGGAAGGUGAUGUCCAUCACCUUAACAGACUGUAAAUUCUUGGGAACAGGGCCUGAGUUUUAUUCCCCUCUUGCCCAGCAGCUGUCAAGAUGCCCAACACAGAGCAGUUGCUUAAUAUGCACAUUCUUUGCUGCACAAGCUUUUUCAAAAACUGCUGCUGAGUUUGCACGAUGAAGCUGCUGUGGACUGAAUAUUUGUGUUUUCUCCAAAUUCGCACGAAGCCCUAACCCCCCAUGCGUCUAUAUUUGGAGAUGGGGCCUUUACAGAGAGAUGAAGUCUUGCCAUGUUCCUCAGCCUGAUUUGAAACUCC
rnacentral:lncRNA from 10 species